rnacentral:rRNA from 1 species
GAUGAACGCUGGCGGCGUGCUUAACACAUGCAAGUCGAACGGUGAAGCAGAGCUUGCUCUGUGGAUCAGUGGCGAACGGGUGAGUAACACGUGAGCAACCUGCCCUGGACUCUGGGAUAAGCGCUGGAAACGGCGUCUAAUACUGGAUACGAGACGUGGCCGCAUGGUCAACGUUUGGAAAGAUUUUUUGGUUCAGGAUGGGCUCGCGGCCUAUCAGCUUGUUGGUGAGGUAAUGGCUCACCAAGGCGUCGACGGGUAGCUGGCCUGAGAGGGUGACCGGCCACACUGGGACUGAGACACGGCCCAGACUCCUACGGGAGGCAGCAGUGGGGAAUAUUGCACAAUGGGCGAAAGCCUGAUGCAGCAACGCCGCGUGAGGGAUGACGGCCUUCGGGUUGUAAACCUCUUUUAGCAAGGAAGAAGCGAAAGUGGCGGUACUUGCAGAAAAAGCGCCGGCUAACUACGUGCCAGCCGCCGCCGUAAAAC